ACAACUUCAAGUUACGCCCCCGUCUUGCAGUCUGCAGACGUACACGCUUGUGGAUAGCAGCGGUAAGGAGGCCAAGCUUACCUUCGAUAACACUCCACCACACAUGAUGGUGUUCAAAGCAUUUUCACAAAGACACUACACCUGCACCUGAGAUGGAAGAUCCUGAGAAUCCACCUCCAUCGCCGGACACUGUCCACACCACUCAUGAGACUGAGCUGAAGACUUUGCUGGAUAAUAAUUGUGGUUGUGUGCUGUGCUUUGACCAAUGUGUCCAAGUAUUGUUGUGAAGGUGUCAUGUUAGAAUUAUACACCAUGCUCACAUCUAAUAUGUAAAAUGUUUUGUUUUUUUUUUCUAAAAAAAGAUUUUGUAAUGUCUCUUCUCACAUGUAAUGUUUUUUUAGCCAUGUCUGUAAAUAAAAUACACAAAGAUUGAAU